rnacentral:rRNA from 1 species
GGCGAAAGCCUGAUCCAGCGACGCCGCGUGUGUGAAGAAGGCCUGCGGGUUGUAAAGCACUUUUAGUGGGGAUGAAAAGCCUAGAGCUAAUACCUCUGGGUCUUGACCUAACCCACAGAAAAAGCACCGGCUAACUCUGUGCCAGCAGCCGCGGUAA